rnacentral:rRNA from 1 species
CUUGGUCAUUUAGAGGAAGUAAAAGUCGUAACAAGUUUUCCGUAGGUGAACCUGCGGAAGGAUCAUUAUCGAAAUUAUUGGUGAGGGUUGUAGCUGGCCUUUCGAGGCAUGUGCACGCUCGAGCCCUUAAUCCACUUUACACCUGUGCACUUAAUGUAGGUCGCCCUUAAAAAAGGUGACCUAUGUCUUAUCAUCAACCCAUCGUAUGUCUCAUAGAAUGUAAUCGAUAUCCUCGCCCUAAAAAAGCGUUGAUAAACUUAUACAACUUUCAACAACGGAUCUCUUGGCUCUCGCAUCGAUGAAGAACGCAGCGAAAUGCGAUAAGUAAUGUGAAUUGCAGAUUUUCAGUGAAUCAUCGAAUCUUUGAACGCACCUUGCGCUCCUUGGUAUUCCGAGGAGCAUGCCUGUUUGAGUGUCAUUAAAUUCUCAACUCCAAGGGUUUCACGACCUUUCGGAGAUUGGACUUGGAGGUGCUGGCCGCAUAUUGGUCGGCUCCUCUCAAAUGCAUCAGCGGAAUUCAACCUUUGGCUUCCGGAUGUCAGUGUGAUAAUCAUGUUGCGCUGUCGUUUGAUCCCUCAGAGUCCGCUUAUAAUGGUCUUCGGACAAAAUCAUCAUCAAAUUUGACCUCAAAUCAGGUAGGACUACCCGCUGAACUUAAGCAUAUCAAUAAGCGGAGGA